rnacentral:rRNA from 1 species
AACGAACGCUGGCGGCAUGCCUAACACAUGCAAGUCGAACGAGACCUUCGGGUCUAGUGGCGCACGGGUGCGUAACGCGUGGGAACCUGCCCUUAGGUUCGGAAUAACUCCCCGAAAGGGGUGCUAAUACCGGAUAAUGUCUUCGGACCAAAGAUUUAUCGCCUUUGGAUGGGCCCGCGUUGGAUUAGCUAGUUGGUAGGGUAAAAGCCUACCAAGGCGACGAUCCAUAGCUGGUCUGAGAGGAUGAUCAGCCACACUGGGACUGAGACACGGCCCAGACUGCGAGGGGAGGCAGCAGUGGGGAAUAUUGGAGAAGGGGCGGAAGCCGGAUCGAGCCAUACCGCGUGGGGGAAGAAGGCCUUCGGGUUGUAAAGCACUUUUGUUGGGAAAGAAAAGCAGCAGGGUAAUACCCCGCGGUUCUGACGGUACCCAAAGAAUAAGAACCGGCUAACUUCGUG